rnacentral:rRNA from 1 species
AUGACACCCAUUUCGAAGACCAUGAGUUUGAGGUGGACGAGGAGGGUGAGGGAAUUGUCGAGGCGCCGAAAGGAAGAGCGGGCAAUUACUCAACCAACAAUGACAAGUUACUAUGCCAUACUUAUUUGCAAGUGUCGAGGGAUCCAUCCAUUGGAGGUGAUCAAAGUAGAGACGCGUAUUGGGGGCGAAUGA